rnacentral:rRNA from 1 species
GAUGAACGCUGGCGGCGUGCCUAAUACAUGCAAGUCGAGCGAACGGACGAGAAGCUUGCUUCUCUGAUGUUAGCGGCGGACGGGUGAGUAACACGUGGAUAACCUACCUCUAAGACUGGGAGAACUUCGGGAAACCGGAGCUAAUACCGGAUAAUAUUUUGAACCGCAUGGUUCAAAAGUGAAUGACGGUCUUGCUGUCACUUAUAGAUGGAUCCGCGCUGCAUUAGCUAGUUGGUAAGGUAACGGCUUACCAAGGCAACGAUGCAUAUCCGACCUGAGAGGGUGAUCGGCCACACGGGAACUGAGACACGCUCCAGACUCCAACGGGAGGCAGCAGUAGGAAAUCUUCCGAAAUGGGCGAAAGCCUGACGGAGCAACGCGGCGUGAGUGAGAAAGGUCUUCGGAUCGUAAAACUCUGUUAUUAGGGAAGAACAUAUGUGUAAGUAACUGUGCACAUCUGGAGGGUACCGAAGCAGAAAGCCCCGGCAAACUACGU